ACUUGGCGGGGGUGGGGUGGGGGUGGGUGGGCAGAAGCAGGAGAGAGCAGGAGAAAGGGCAGAAGGAGACUGCCUCUGAGACCUUCCAUUGUUCUCCAGGUCAAAGUAUUCAGCAUGCCACUGCACCAUAUUUUGGGGCGUCAUGGUCAUUUGUUAAGCAUCAACAAAAUAGUGCUGUAUAGCUGAGAGGAUGUGCAGAGAGAACAAUACAUUCAACGAGACCGAAAAUGGAAAAAAAAUUCACUUUUAUUACCUUAAAGAUGCCAAACAGUGCCAUUUUAUGACUGUGGGAAGCUGGAAGUCAUUUCUGAACUCUUUUGGCAAGAGUGCUAUGUAGAGCAUCCAACUCAGCCCUUUAAGUGUCUUCUGAGAACCGCCACACAGCCAGUGAUUUACCGUCUUCAGGAGUUAAAAGGACGCUUUCUGUUCUGAAACGGAAGAAAGGUGAUGCGUGUUUAGGACGCUUCCCAAUGACACUCCGGAGGACCUGAGACAGCCCGAGGAUGUCUGAGAACUGUCACGGAUAGAGAUUUAUUACAUUCAGAAGCCAGAAGACUCAUCUUUCCAAGAAUAUUAAAAUGGUUUGCACAAGACAGAAAGGACACUAGGAAUUCCUUUAGAUGCUUGAGUCCAAGUUCCAUUUUGCUACCUUUCCACUGGAAGACCUUCAGCCAGUUGCUCAAUGCCUCUGGAUUCUGAUGAGCGGUGUGCACUGCUGUGGAAUUCCUCAAGCGAGCUAGACCUAAAGCUUAGGAUGAUGAUCACAGCAAUUACAAACACAAUAGAGGUUUCUUGCAACAGGAGGAAAUGUUUCUCACAGAAAGGGACAAAUCAUCCAUUAUCAAGUUCAACUCAUCAAGGAUAUCUUCCCAGAUUCUCUGGGUAGAUCAGACCUGUUGACUAGAUCCUCUCUCAACAAGCAAACCUUUCCUUCCUACACUUGACAUAGGACUAUUACAUGUUGAAGCAAACCACUGUUUGAAAAAAUAAAUGUCUACUACAUUGCCAGCUUUAUGAAUGUAAGAAUGUUUUGCUGAUACAUUUAUAUAUUUCUGGCACCUAAAGUGGUGCCCAGCUGCUCACUUAAUGUUUGUAAGUGAAUUAGUGAAAAUCUCUGCCCUAAAGGGCUGUUGAG
rnacentral:lncRNA from 1 species